UACAGAGGUCUCAAGCGUUGUUCGGAUUCAUUGGGCGUAAAGGGCGCGUAGGCUGCGGGGCAAGUCGGGUGUGAAAUCUCAGAGCUCAACUCUGAAACUGCACUCGAUACUGCUUUGCUUGAGGACUGGAGAGGAGAUUGGAAUUCACGGUGUAGCAGUGAAAUGCGUAGAUAUCAGGAGGAACACCGGUGGCGAAGGCGGGUCUCUGGGCAGUAACUGACGCUGAGGAGCGAAAGCGUGGGGAGCGAACAGG
rnacentral:rRNA from 1 species